CUCUUCAUAAUAGUUUACUGCAUUUAUUCAUUGACUACAUUAGAGUUGUGAACAUUAAAAAAAAAAAAUAAAUAAAAAUACACACAUCAUGAAGUUUUUUGGUUUUCUUUUAAUUCUUGUCUUUUUUUUUGUCAGCGUACAAUCAAGAAGAAUAAAUGAAUUUCCAACGGAUCGUUUUAAAGACAAAACUAUGUCACCGGAAGAACCACUAAAGAUCGUGGGAGAAUAUUUAAAAAAAGAGAUAGAUAAUAUACAUGAAGAGAUGACCAAUGUAGAAAAUAUUUUAAAACAAUUCAACUUUUAAAACAAUUAGGUUUUUAAAUAUAAAAGAGAGAUACACUUUAGGUACUUCAAAUUUGGAAUACUUGAAAGCGCCACUGGUAUUAUUCCAAAAAUUAUGUAUUUUAUAAUUAAUGACAAAAAUUAUUAAAUAAAUAAACUAUAUUUUUAUGUAAAAAGAAA